rnacentral:misc_RNA from 1 species
GGGGAGCCUAUUUUCCAUUUACAAAGAUGCAAAUGCCGGAAUGUCAUCAACUCUUCAAUCAGAAAUACCAAAGCUAGAGAAUACAUCAUGGCACUGUCUUGGUGCCCGAGCAGAUAGGAACAAGGAGAAUCAGGCAAUCCCUUCAAAGUGGACAUCUAAUAAGAUUCCUCAAAGACACGGGCUUAGAAAUCGAGGAGCUACUACUACCACCACUCCGUGCCUAGAGAUCUUUGUGGAUGAGGAAUGUGCCAAAGCACAGGAGAAGGACUCUGCUG